rnacentral:rRNA from 1 species
CCUACGGGUGGCAGCAGUGAGGAAUAUUGGUCAAUGGGCGUAAGCCUGAACCAGCCAAGUCGCGUGAGGGAUGAAGGUUCUCUGGAUCGUAAACCUCUUUUAUAAGGGAAUAAAGUGCGGGACGUGUCCCGUUUUGUAUGUGCCUUAUGACUAAGGAUCGGCUAACUCCGUGCCAGCAGCCGCGGUAAUACGGAGGAUCCGAGCGUUUGCCGGAUUUAUUGGGUGUAAAGGGUGCGUAGGCGGCCUUAUAAGUCAGCGGUGAAAGUCUGUGGCUCAACCAUAGAAUUGCCGUUGAAACUGGUAGGCUUGAGUAUGUUUGAGGCAGGCGGAAUGCGUGGUGUAGCGGUGAAAUGCUUAGAUAUAACGCAGAACACCGAUUGCGAAGGCAGCCUACCAAGCCAUGACUGACGCUGAUGCACGAAAGCGUGGGGAUCAAACAGGAUUAGAUACCCCUGUAGUC